AACGAACGCUGGCGGCAGGCUUAACACAUGCAAGUCGAACGCCCCGCAAGGGGAGUGGCAGACGGGUGAGUAACGCGUGGGAACAUACCCUUUUCUACGGAAUAGCUCUGGGAAACUGGAAUUAAUACCGUAUACGCCCUACGGGGGAAAGAUUUAUCGGGGAAGGAUUGGCCCGCGUUGGAUUAGCUAGUUGGUGGGGUCAAGGCCUACCAAGGCGACGAUCCAUAGCUGGUCUGAGAGGAUGAUCAGCCACAUUGGGUCUGAGACACGGCCCAAACUCCUACGGGAGGCAGCAGUGGGGAAUAUUGGACAAUGGGCGCAAGCCUGAUCCAGCCAUGCCGCGUGAGUGAUGAAGGCCUUAGGGUUGUAAAGCUCUUUCACCGAUGAAGAUAAUGACGGUAGUCGGAGAAGAAGCCCCGGCUAACUUCGUGCCAGCAGCCGCCGUAA
rnacentral:rRNA from 1 species